rnacentral:tRNA from 1 species
GGACUGAAGUUCAGUUGGUAGAACGCUCGCCUAGCAUGUGUGAGGCACUGGGUUCGAUCCUCAGCACCA